UACGUAGGGGGCAAGCGUUGUCCGGAUUUAUUGGGCGUAAAGAGCGUGUAGACGGCUAGAUAGGUCCGUUGUGAAAAACUCGAGGCUCAACCUCGAGACGUCGAUGGAAACCAUUCUGGCUAGAGUCCGGAAAGAGGAGGAGUGGAAUUCCGUGGAUGUAGGCGGUGAAAUGCGCAGAUAUCAGGAGGAACACCGAUGGCGAAGGCAGGUCUCUGGGGCCGAUACUGACGCUGAGGAGCGAAAAGCGUGGGAGCGAACAGGAUUAGAAA
rnacentral:rRNA from 1 species